rnacentral:misc_RNA from 1 species
UCUCCGUUGGUGAACCAGUGGAGGGAUCAUUACAGAGUUGCAAAACUCCCAAACCAUUGUGAACGUUACCUAUCCCGUUGCUUCGGCGGGCGGCCCGGGCCCCGCGCCCGGCGCCCCCCGGCCCCCCGUGGGCGCCCGCCGGAGGUAAACCAAACCCUUGAAUUGCAUGGCCUCUCUGAGUCUUCUGUACUGAAUAAGUCAAAACUUUCAACAACGGAUCUCUUGGUUCUG